AGAUGUGUGGACUUACAGAAGCUGGACAAAAGAGCUCUUGCUGCGGCAUCAGGGUAAUUACAACCUGCUAAUAGCACGCUCAGCACUCAGCACUUCUGGUUCUAGAUGUUAUAUCGUUAACCUUCCUGGUGUCUGAUGAGGCAAGUGCUCCUUAGGAUGCUGCUCCACAAGCAGUGCAACGUUGACGUGUAUGGGCUGCGUCUUCUCUGCACCUCGAUUGCCAACCCUGCAGUGUGAGGACCACACCUUGCUCAUCUUUGUGUACCUGCCACCUCUCACAGUACUGGUCCCUCCAGUCUCUCAUAGGAUAAGCAGUCAUCAACCCACUGAAAGUCCUUCAUCUGAUCACUAGAAG
rnacentral:lncRNA from 1 species